UGCGGAUAACUGAACGUGAUAACUGAAGCACCACGCUACCUCCGGCGACGGCACGAGUCAGGAGGAAGGCGGUGGGCAAGAAAGAAGGCGACAAAAAGGCGAUGUAAGGCGAGAAAAGAAGCGGAUUCCCUCGUGGAAACUCGCAUCAAUCACAGCCCUGGGGGCCUAUUGCUGUUCUACGACCGAGAUGAGAAUUACAAGAUUGAGUG